AUAAGUGACGACUAGCGCCUUGAAGCGUAUCCGAAGACCUAUUCAAAUUGUUUUCUGUUCUAUCUUACACUAAAGAAAAUAAAGGUUGUUUUGAAUUUAUUUCUAACAGUUUUUUUCAAUUUAUGAACUGUGUAAUCUUUACUUCAAGUCCAUCUUCAAUGACUUUUGGUAUCUUCUUCAAGAUUGAAAUUAAUUCCUUUACAUUGAGUAUGAAUUUGAAUCCAGGUAUCACAUAUCCAGUUUAUGGACAGAUCUUUAUUUCACCACCAUGUGAACUAUGAAAUGUGCUUCAGAAAAUGGUCAGCAUUUUUGUCUGUUAAUUGUAGGAGUGAGGUGGGGAUAACACUUGUCAUUCAAAGGCAUUCAUUGUGUUUUACUGUGAAAGGUGAUUGCCAUUAUUAAUCUUAUUGAGAAACAGAGACGCUCCCAAGAUAAUUAAUAGUAACGUGCUAUGAUUUGAAUACUAAUUGUUGCAAUAAAUUAUGUUUGAAUUUUAUUUUAAUAAGCUUUAUGUAAGAAUAAGAAAUCUAUUAAUAGUAAAUAUGGGGUCUGAUUUAUAAAUAUAUUCCUAUUAUUAGUCUGUUUUUCUUUUGUUCUUCCAAAGCAAAUAGAUCCUUGCCUUUAUCCUAACCUCUUCCAAAAAUCAUUGGAUCCAGAGGUUUUUUGCCAAAUCUUGAAAAUUCUACAGGAUUUUCAUACUAAGAAAGAAGAGCCUUUACUUAUCCUUGAAAUUCUGCACAAAUUAUCAGAAUCCAAAAGAUUUGAUAUGGCAGUUAUGUUUAUGUCAGAGUCAGAGAAAAAAACUGUACGUUUUUUAUUUGAUCAUUUGGAACAAUCUCAUUUGGAAGAUUCUCCUAUUAAACAACUCAAGAUAAAAUACAGCAUUUAAUUUAAAUACUUUUUAUAUCUCUAUAGCAGAUUAUAUACUGCUUUGGAAGGACAGUUCCAUAUAGAUGAUUAUGACAGAGAAUUUCAAGUUCAUUCAGCUUUUUUGUUAUGAAUUGAUUCACCAUGUUUUGCUCGAUUUUUAUUUAUUCUUUUCAUUUUGAACAUUCUGUAGAAACAAGAUUGAUAGUUGCUACAAUAUUUAUCAAAUUCCAUUCUUUAUUAGUUGUGUGUUAAAAAUUAUAUAUUUUUAUUCGUAUAAAUAAAUUCACAAAUGUUACAUUA